rnacentral:rRNA from 1 species
CCUACGGGGGGCUGCAGUAGGGAAUAUUGGACAAUGGGUGCAAGCCUGAUCCAGCCAUGCCGCGUGCAGGAAGACGGCCUUCUGGGUUGUAAACUGCUUUUUUCAGGGGAUAAAAGGCCCGUGCGCGGGACAUUGAAAGUACCUGGAGAAUAAGCCACGGCUAACUACGUGCCAGCAGCCGCGGUAAUACGUAGGUGGCCAGCGUUGUCCGGAUUUAUUGGGUUUGUAGGGUGCGACGGCGGCUACUUAUGAAAUACGGCAGCUUAACUGUCGAGGUGCCAUUGAUACUGGGUAGCUUGAGUACUGAUGAGGUAGGCGGAAUGGACGGUGUAGCGGUGAAAUGCUUAGAGAUCGUCCAGAACACCGAUAGCGAAGGCAGCUUACUAAGGAGUAACUGACGCUGAGGCACGAAAGUGUGGGGAUCAAACAGGAUUAGAUACCCCAGUAGUC